rfam:Salmo salar isolate Sally breed double haploid chromosome ssa19, whole genome shotgun sequence.
UGCAUUCACUACUGUAAGUCGCUCUGGAUAAAAGCAUCUGCUAAAUGACUAAAA